ACGAAACUUCAACAGCUGUCUUCUAAGAAGCAGCCAGGAAGUGGCAUUUUUUAGCCGACAUUGUGAUAGCACAGCCCAGCUACCAGCACUGGGAGGUACUCCUGAAGCUAAGUCUGACCUUGGCUGCUCUUGAGCUCAGGAGCUGCAAGCCUCGGGAAAGCGUUGCAGUAUAUUCAGGAGUAAAGCUCACAGAUAAUCAACACUUGUGUGCUACAGCAUGAAGCUGAAGUUGGGAAGAUAGCGUCACGGUCAGAUGGGAGGAGACCAGCCUGCUUUGUGUUGAGCUGCUUUGAUUUGCAGGUGUUGAUUGAGUCCCAAGAUGCUCCUGACAUGUCAGAUCUGUGCAAGAUAAUGCAAACCAUAAUCAUCCUUAUGAAAUGAGGCAACUCCUACUUCUCCUUCAUACACCUACACCCAGAUUUGUGUUUUGACCAUCAAAAUCUUGCUGAAGAAAAUAACAUUCUGGCCAUCUAGGGAGAUCCUUUCCCCUUAACGCCCCCC